rnacentral:rRNA from 1 species
GAUGAACGCUAGCGGCAGGCUUAAUACACGCAAGUCGAGGGGUAGCAGGGUAGCAAUACCGCUGACGACCGGCAAACGGGUGCGGAACACGUACACAACCUUCCAACAAGUGGGGGAUAGCCCAGAGAAAUUUGGAUUAAUACCCCGUAACAUAGCGAUGUGGCAUCACAUUGCUAUUAUAGAUUUUUCGCUUGUUGAUGGGUGUGCGGCUGAUUAGAUAGUUGGCGGGGUAACGGCCCACCAAGUCUACGAUCAGUAGCUGAUGUGAGAGCAUGAUCAGCCACACGGGCACUGAGACACGGGCCCGACUCCUACGGGAGGCAGCAGUAAGGAAUAUUGGACAAUGGACGCAAGUCUGAUCCAGCCAUGCCGCGUGAAGGAUUAAGGUCCUCUGGAUUGUAAACUUCUUUUAUAAGGGACGAAAAAAGGCUUUUCUAAGUCGUCUGACGGUACCUUAUGAAUAAGCACCGGCUAACUCCGUGCCAGCAGCCGCCGUAAAAC